UCGUGUAAUGCCGUUGAAGAUAUACAUGCCAUUGACAAGUAAUGGAGGAAAUUGUAAUGGAGCAAAUCCCAAUCACUAGUAAUUAUGGAUUGAAUCCGAAAUCUAUACUUAAAGAUGAAGGAACCAUAUUUAUCUCACUACAAUCCUUGGUGGUGGUCCAUGUACAAUCCUGAGUUACUCUAUGUGCAACGUUGCAUCUACACAACAUUAACAGUUCAACAUUCCAUCUUACUUCACAAAAUAUUCUUCGGGUCGUUUGGUAAGCGGACUAAGUUAUCCCGGGAUAAUAAUCCCAGGAUUAUAAUCCAUAGACUAUUUUAUCCCACAUGGAAGGUGGGAUAAAAUAAUCCUAAGUUUGAUGAGAUAAGGUGGGAUAAAGUAGUAUAUCCAGUAUUAAGUCUGGGAUUAAAUUUAUACCAUAUUUGGUUGAUGGUAUAAAUUUAAUCCCUUACCUUAUCCCACGUUCAUGUAUAUGUUUACAAUUUAAGAAGGAAUAUAUAGAGUGUGUUUCAGU